AGAAUCAACGCUGGCGGCGUGCCUCAGACAUGCAAGUCGAACGCGAAAGUUCCCUUCGGGGGUGAGUAGAGUGGCGCACGGGUGAGUGACACGUAGGUAAUCUACCUUUGGAUGGGGAAUAACAACCGGAAACGGUUGCUAAUACCGCAUAGUGCAGCGGCACCUAAUGGUGACAGUUGUUAAAGCGGGGGAUCGAAAGACCUCGCGUCUGAAGAGGAGCCUGCGGCGGAUUAGCUAGUUGGUAGGGUAAUGGCCUACAAGGCUACGAUCCGUA
rnacentral:rRNA from 1 species